UGGCACUAUAGUGCCCUUAGGGUGCCCCCACCCUCAGGGACCCCCUCCCGCCCGGCUCUGGAAGGGGGAAAGGGGAAAAAACUUACCUUUUUCCAGCGCUGGGCGGAGAGCUCUCCUCCUUCUCUCCUCCUCCGUUCCGCCCCGUUGGCUGAAUGCGCACGCGCGGCAAGAGCUGCGCGCGCAUUCAUCCGGUCACAUAGGAAAGCAUUCAUAAUGCUUUCCUAUGGACGCUGGCGUGCUC